rnacentral:rRNA from 1 species
UGGGGAAUUUUGGACAAUGGGCGAAAGCCUGAUCCAGCCAUGCCGCGUGAGUGAAGAAGGCCUUCGGGUUGUAAAGCUCUUUUAGUCGGAAAGAAAGAGUUGCAAUGAAUAAUUGUGAUUUAUGACGGUACCGACAGAAAAAGCACCGGCUAACUUCGUGCCAGCAGCCGCGGUAAUACGAAGGGUGCAAGCGUUACUCGGAAUUACUGGGCGUAAAGGGUGCGCAGGCGGUCUUGCAAGUCAGAUGUGAAAGCCCCGGGCUUAACCUGGGAAUUGCGUUUGAAACUACAAGGCUAGAGUGCAGCAGAGGGGAGUGGAAUUCCAUGUGUAGCAGUGAAAUGCGUAGAGAUGUGGAAGAACACCGAUGGCGAAGGCAGCUCCCUUGGUUGACACUGACGCUCAUGCACGAAAGCGUGGGGAGCAAACA